AGUGAACGCUGGCGGUAGGCCUAACACAUGCAAGUCGAACGGCAGCACAGUAAGAGCCUGCUCUUACGGGUGGCGAGUGGCGGACGGGUGAGGAAUACAUCGGAAUCUACUUUUUCGUGGGGGAUAACGUAGGGAAACUUACGCUAAUACCGCAUACGACCUACGGGUGAAAGCAGGGGAUCUUCGGACCUUGCGCGAUUGAAUGAGCCGAUGUCGGAUUAGCUAGUUGGCGGGGUAAAGGCCCACCAAGGCGACGAUCCGUAGCUGGUCUGAGAGGAUGGUCAGCCACACUGGAACUGAGACACGGUCCAGACUCCUACGGGAGGCAGCAGUGGGGAAUAUUGGACAAUGGGCGCAAGCCUGAUCCAGCCAUACCGCGUGGGUGAAGAAGGCCUUCGGGUUGUAAAGCCCUUUUGUUGGGAAAGAAAAGCAGCAGGUUAAUACCCCGCUGUUCUGACGGUACCCAAAGAAUAAGCACCGGCUAACUUCGUG
rnacentral:rRNA from 1 species